rnacentral:lncRNA from 1 species
UAGCAGCCCGGCUGCGAGCCUUCAGGCCUUGGGGUCUCUGGAACCAAAGCCUCUUUGUCUCCCGAACUCCAGGGGAACCUGAUCUUUGAAGAAGAGGUACUCCUCAUCUUUCUGGGAAUAUCCAAGAUGUCCCUGGUUGUAGUGCCUUUCUACCAGAAAAGACACAAGCACUUUGACCAGUCAUAUCGAAACAUCCAAACCAGGUACCUCCUGGACCGAUAUGCAUCGAAAAAGCAAGCGUCCAGUCAAUCAUCAUCCCAGAGGUCUCUUACGGAGA